CUGGAAAUGUGAUCAGAGUCCUGGUCCGGUUCACAAAUGAUCUGGUUUCUCUUGGCCUGGCCCUGGAUGCAUUCCUCCGCCCCACGAGCAGCUCUUACUCUCUCUACCCUCCAACAUCAGCUCCUGCUGUGUGAAGGAAGGAAGGAAGUUCUCUGGUCCAGACUGCAGCAGAGAGUCACACACAAAAUCUGAGUAUCAGACGUCCCCAACUUUUAACUAAACAAAAUCACCCCUGACGUAACAGGGACAAACCCUGUCCAGAUGUUUGCUGCUGCUUCGUGUCCCACCU
rnacentral:lncRNA from 1 species